rnacentral:tRNA from 1 species
GUCCCGGUAGCUCAGUUGGACAGAGCGCUGGAUUCCUAAUCCGGAGGUCGCGGGUUCAAGUCCCGCCCGGGAUACCA